AUUGUACACUCCUUUCAAUCCUGAAGCCCCUGAAAACUUCCGAAUGAUAGACUCAGCAUUUGUCAGCCAGGCCCAAGGUGAUAUUAAAAGGAAAUUACAGAAAUUAGAGGGAUUUGUAGGGAUGUCCAUAUUACAGCUAAUGGAGAUUGCAAAUACAGUAUAUAUGAAUAGGGAGAUGGAGGAAGAACGUAAAAUGAGGAAAAAGGCAGAUAUGCUAGCGGUAGCUAUCUUAAGUGUAG